rnacentral:misc_RNA from 1 species
UCUUGUAAAUGAACCCUCCACAGCAGAAUAGUGUUGAGGCAACUAAUACUAUGCACGAUAAUACUCCAAAUAUGGCCCAUCCUCCUGCAGCACCUCCACCUUCGCUUUGCUGAUAUUCACACAUCUUUGUGAGGGUGAACUGAACAGGAUCAUAGUUUUCUAUAGGAAUGGUGACCUCAACUUCAUAUGGGUUAUCACGAGCAACAUCACAUCUCCAGUCAAUCAGUAAUGAUGUUGGUGACAAAGUUG